UAGCGUAGGGACCAAGCGUUGUUCGGAUUUACUGGGCGUAAAGGGCGCGUAGGCGGCAAUUCAAGUCAUCUGUGAAAUCUCCGGGCUUAACCCGGAACGGUCAGGUGAUACUGUCUUGCUAGAGUGCGGAAGGGGCAAUCGGAAUUCUUGGUGUAGCGGUGAAAUGCGUAGAUAUCAAGAGGAACACCUGAGGUGAAGACGGGUUGCUGGGCCGACACUGACGCUGACAGCGCGAAAGCCAGGGGAGCAAACGGG
rnacentral:rRNA from 1 species